UGUGAGCUCGAUGAGUAGGGCGGGACACGUGGUAUCCUGUCUGAAUAUGGGGGGACCAUCCUCCAAGGCUAAAUACUCCUGACUGACCGAUAGUGAACCAGUACCGUGAGGGAAAGGCGAAAAGAACCCCGGCGAGGGGAGUGAAAAAGAACCUGAAACCGUGUACGUACAAGCAGUGGGAGCCCCACCACCAAAGCAUUCUCUGGUGUUGAAGGCCCUGCAAAGCAGCAUCGCGGUGGCGGAGCGUCGUUUGCGACGCCCAACACACAAAACAAGCGGUGAGUGCUUUGGGGUGGGGUGACUGCGUACCUUUUGUAUAAUGGGUCAGCGACUUAUAUUCUGUAGCAAGGUUAACCGAAUAGGGGAGCCG
rnacentral:rRNA from 1 species